GAUGAACGCUGGCGGCGUGCCUAAUACAUGCAAGUCGAGCGAACAGACGAGGAGCUUGCUCCUCUGACGUUAGCGGCGGACGGGUGAGUAACACGUGGAUAACCUACCUAUAAGACUGGGAUAACUUCGGGAAACCGGAGCUAAUACCGGAUAAUAUAUUGAACCGCAUGGUUCAAUAGUGAAAGACGGUUUUGCUGUCACUUAUAGAUGGAUCCGCGCCGCAUUAGCUAGUUGGUAAGGUAACGGCUUACCAAGGCAACGAUGCGUAGCCGACCUGAGAGGGGGUUGCGCCACCCGGGAAGUGAGACGCGGCCCAGGGCCUGAGGGGAGGCACAGGUAGGGAAGCUACCGAACUGGGGGAAAGCCUGACGGAGCAACGGCGGGGGGGUGAAGAAGGGUUUCGUGUUGGAAAACGUUUUUAUGGGGGAAAAACAAUUUUGUAAGUAACUAUGCGCGUCUUAAGGGAACCUAAUAAGAAGGCCCGGGUAAAUUAGUG
rnacentral:rRNA from 1 species